rnacentral:tRNA from 1 species
AGCCCUGUCGUCUAGUGGUCACAAUUGCCAUAAAAGGAUACGAGACUCUGGAUCUCGGGACGGCGGUUCGAAUCCGCUCGGGGCUA